GGAGGGAUCAUUACAAUUCACUGCUACUUUUAGUAGCGGGUUGAACAACAUUCAUGUCUUUUAACCUUGGGAUGGGGUAACCCUAACAAGGUUUUUGGUCGCUGUCGCGUGACAGUGUGCAACCAAUUAAAUUCCCGAAAGGGCGAUCGGGUUUGGGAGUAAAAUCCCAUCCCGGGAAGGGCGAUUGGAUUCGGGCGGUAAAACCCCGACUCCUGUUCUCUGAAGAGGUAUCGGGUUUGUUCUGUUCUAUCCUGUUGUUUAUCCCGCAAGGGCGAUCAGGUUUGGAGUGUAAAAACACCAUCCUGUCUCGAAAGAGGUAUCAGGUUUAGUUCAUUGCAUCCCGCAUCCCGAAAGGGCGAUUGGGUUCGGGGGUAAAACCCCGUCUCCUGUUCUCUGACGAGGUUUGAGGUUUGGGGUGUAAAAACCCCAUCCUUGUCCCAUCCGCGGAAGGGCGAUUGGGUUCGGGCGGUAAAACCCCGAUCCCUGUUCUCUGAAGAGAUAUCGGGUUUAUGAUCCGAAUCCCGCAAGGGCGAUUGGGGACGGGCGGUAAAACCCCGGCCCCUGAUUCUCUGACGAGGUUUGAGGUUGGGUGUAAAAACCCAUCCUUGUUCCCUUCUGUGUCUCUGUGUCUCUGACGAGUGCUGAGGUUGGGCGUUUGUUUGGCGUCCCAGCCUUGAGUACCGGAGCGUAAAAACUCCAUCCGGGAGGGGCGAUUGGGGUCGGGCGUAAAAUCCCGUCUCCUGUUCUCUGAAGAGGUAUCGGGUUUGGACUGUUCUAUCCUGUUGUUUAUCCCGAAAGGGCGAUCAGGUUUGGAGUGUAAAAACACCAUCCUGUCUCGAAAGAGGUAUCAGGUUUAGUUCCUUCCAUCCCGCAUCCCGAAAGGGCGAUUGGGUUCGGGGGUAAAACCCCGUCUCCUGUUCUCUGACGAGGUUUGAGGUUUGGGGUGUAAAAACCCCAUCCUUGUUCCCUUCUAACUCUACUCUGAAGAGCGUUGAGGUUGGUGUGUAAAAACCCCAUCCUUUAUACCAUUUUUUAAUGGUCGAACACCUGUCGACGGGGGAUAUCUAGGUUCCCACAACGAUGACGAGCGCAGUAAACUGCGAUAACGAAUGUGAAUUGCAGAACUCCGUGAAUCAUUUAGGACUUGAACGCAACUUGCCCCUCACCGUCAAGGCUGAGGUGGGACCGGUUGAGCGCCAUUUUAAACAUAAUCCCGAGAGGGCGAUUGGGGCUGGUAAUUCCACCACCCUUAAAUAGCGGACAGGCGAGUGAGUCAUGGGCGAGAUGUGUUUACUCAUUAAGUUUGAUGUAAACAUACUAUGUUCAAUUUGUUCCCUGUUAGAGCAAUCUGUUGCGGGCUGGGGAUUUGUUGGGGAUUUUAUCGGGCAGAUUGCAAUAUUGCUGCAGAUGGCAAUAUCCUACGUCGAAAUCUAGUAGACGAACUGGCCUCAAACUGGUCCGGACUACCCACUGAACUUAAGCAUAUCAUUAUGUGGAGGAAAAGAAACCAACAGGGAUUCCCUUAGUAAGGGCGACUGAACCGGGAAAAGCUCAAACUUAAAAUCGGCCUGGGCCAAAACCCUCGUCCGAAUUGUAGUUUUGCGAAUGGAUUCUGGUGAUAUCACUGAUCUAAGUCCUCUGGAACGAGACGCCGUAGAAGGUGACAGCCCUGUGAGGUUGGUGAUUGACCCUAAUGUUUCCAUUUCAAGGAGUCAGGCUAUUUGAGAGCAUAGCCUAAAGCGGGUGGUAAGCUCCAUCCAAAGCUAAAUAUCAGUGGGGAGACCGAUAGCGAACAAGUACCGCGAGGGAAAGAUGAAAAAGACUCUGGAAAGAGAGUUAAAAGUAUUUGAAACCGUCGACAGUGAAGCGGACGUGCCCUCCACUCCGUGGUGUGUGAAUCAGCAGGUAGCUGGGCCCUGGCGCUGGUUGGCGCCCAUUAGUUUGGGUUAAGGCUGGCGUUGGGGUUUGGCGACCUGUGCACUUCAUGCGCUUUAGGAUGCAACUGGUUUGUGUGAUCGAUUUGGGCGGUUGUGGAUGGUAAUCGGCUUGCUGGUGAAAACUGCGACCCAACCCUAACUGUAUUGCAUAAAUUUAGGCUCAGGCCUGCCUCACCUUUGCCAAGGGGUGACUUGGUUAGUGGAAGGUUGGCGUUGUCUCGUAAGGGAUGGCGUCGGCCCAAGCUAAUUGGGGAACUUACUGGGUGGGGUUUUGUUGUAAUUGGGGGACACGUCUGUCCCGUCUUGAAACACGGACCAAGGAGUGUUGAUUGCAUGCAAGUCUAAGGGGCGUUAAACCCUGGAGGCGAAGCGAAAGCAUUACGUGUGAUGGGAUAAAAACCUGCAACACGAACCGAUAAUGACACAGCGUGAAUAUAUCGAGUUUUAGCAUGCAGUCAACGACCCGAAAGACCGCGAACUAUACCUGCAUAGGGUGAAGCCAGAAGAAAUUCUGGUGGAAGCCCGUAGCGGUUCUGACGUGCAAAUCGAUCGUCAAAUGUGGGUAUAGCGGCGAAAGACUAAUCGAGCGGUCUAGUAGCUGGUUCCCUC
rnacentral:misc_RNA from 1 species